CGCCCGCCUGGAACUGGUCCGCGCACGCGCACGAACGCCGCAGGCCCCGGCCCGCGGCCGCUGAAUGGCGGAGACUGUCCCUGCACAGCUGUGCUUCCACCUGGCCUUCAGUGCCUCGUGCCCGAGAGCGGAAAAGGGAAAUCGCGAGCGGAGCACCGGUGUGCUGGCCACGUGGGCCCCGCCGGGCCGACUCGACCGUGCUGCCGCCCGCCGCUCCAGUGCAAGGGACCUGGACGAGAUCUCGGUGCCGCUCCGCUCCCACCAGCGAGGGAGCAGAGGCGCGGGAGGGAAGGGGCGUCCCGGGGGUCGCCAGCACCCUGGGGGCAGGGCUGGCAGCCUCCCCCACGCCCCCACGCUGGAAGCCUCGUCUUUGUAACAUCCGGUGUCCUGUAACUAGAUGGGUCCUGUCCUGCGGAGGUGGUUUCCCCUGUGAAGCCAGAGAUUCACCCAGGAGCGUGAGGGGAGCCGGGUCCUGAACCCCCAAGCCGCCCACUACCCUCUACUUUACCGGAUGGAAUUCAUCAGUAACUAGGUAUCUUUAAGGGCGGCUCCCUGGCGCGCUCUGACAGUUACGGAAGUCCCAAAAUGCUUUGACCGAAAACGCCUAACAGUGAAUACAUAAGGCAAAAAGCAGCGUGGGAAAUUCGAGUCCGUAGGAGCGCCCGGGGGAUGCCUCUGGAGGUGGACUGCCACUCACCCCAGGCCACGCUGGAGUGCCCCCACCAGGCAGGCACUGGACUUGAAUUGGGGAUACUUUUUUUUUUUUUCAUUUUUUCAUUUUUUACCAUUUUGGACAAUCCAGACAGGUUAUGUCUCUCCCUAGGGUGGGGAUUUCGACUGACCGGAGUGUGGCCGAUAAAGAGUUAAAGAGAGGAGAGGGUAGAUCUAGAUCUAGUCCUGGGUGGGUAGGGGUGGGGUUGCAGGAGCUCAGAGCACUGGCCCAGCCCUGCCCCCAACUUGCUGUGUUCUCUUGGACAAGUUACCUCCCUUCUCUGGGCCUCAGAUAACCCAAGAAUCCUUACAUAGAUAUCUUUAUAGCCACAAAGCCCUGUGAGGUUUUUGAAAAACUUCCUUGGCAUCCAAAGCCAGGUCUGAGGCACAGUCAGUGAAUACCUGUUUAAUGAAUGCAUGCAUAAAUGAAUGAAUGGAUGAUCCAGCUCUUCCUGGAGCAGGCGCGACUUCCACAGAAACAAAAAGAGGGCAAACGCGAGCCGUAAGCAGAAAGAACGUUAUAGCUCCAGCGCUGAAUGGGACAUCUUUGAUUCUGUGGUGAUGCGGACUUUGUGCUUCUCUGUGAGGAAACACUUUGUUCCAACGACGCAAUUUUCCUCACACUCCGGAAGUGUCCUGCACUGCCAGAAUUGCCCAGCUUCCUGGCACACCUACCAACCAGUCAUUCCCAACACUGCCCAAUAUGCAGCCUCCCGGCAGAGGGCCUGGAUGUCUUGGCAGGUGUUUCCGAAAAACCCCAAUCCACCCUCCAAGGUGGAAAGUGUUGCAUCUCUGCCCAUAAAUCAAAUGGCGUGCCUGAGGCAUAGAAAGCAGCUUUCAGGGAGGGCCCUCCUUCCUCUGAGCAAAUGGUGGCAUCAUCAGAGAAAGUGGAGCUCUCCAAAAGAAUCUGCUGGAAGGCAGAGGACGCCCAUGUUUCCUGGUGACUCCCUCUGACCCAACAGGCUGCAGCGCCUCUGCUGGGCUUUGCCACUGCCCCAUUUUUGCUAGAGCCUCACCCUGGUGGGGCCCCACCUCUGGGAAGCCCCAGCGCCUGCAAGAUUUUUUCCUCUCGUGACAGGGAGCAGCAUGCAGAGGGCCCUUGCACAACCUGGGUCUUCUGGAAGUUCCAUGCCCAGGUGUUGGCCCAGCUCUCCUCAUGGUUCCAAGAAGGCUGCCCCAGGAAGGCUUGUGGACAGAGGGAGAAGCAUCUCUUCCUCUAAGUCUCUUUUUAUCUAAGAAACCAGUUUGACCAGCAUCCUUCCCCUCGGCUCCCUGGGAGGAAUGCAUGGAUCCCUUUGCCUUCCCCCAUCCCUCCAUGGUUGACUAAACCCACUAGGAUCCACUCUUUCGUGUGGAAAUGGGUUCAGGCCUCCCAUGAACAGCAUGAAGAUGCCCUCUGUUAUGGGUUACAUUAUGUCCCCUGCCCCCGAGACAGUAUGUUGAGUCCUAACCGUAGUAUUGCAGAAUGUGAAUUUAUUAGGACAUAGGGUCUUUAUUGGAGGUCAUUAAGUUAAAUGAGGGCAUUAGGGUGGGCUGGUGUCCUGAUAUAAAGGGGAAAUUUGGGGCUGGUGUAGUGGCUUACACCUAUAAUCCCAGUGCUUUGGGAGACCAAGGCAGGAGGAUUGCUUGAGGGCAGGAGUUCGAGAUACUGGGGAGACCCAGUAUCUAUAAAAAAAAAAAAAUCAAAAACAAAA